AUGGUGACAUAGGGUCUGAAGGAAGCUGGAGGCAAAAGUGCGAACCUACGAACAGAAACUGCAUAAUAGGCUGAUGUUUGGGAUGAGUCUACAAAAUAAGAUUAAAUCCAGAGCUAGAAGAGCAUCAGUAAAUGCAGAGGUUACAUGCACUGAAGGUUAGU
rnacentral:ncRNA from 1 species